GAUGAACGCUGGCGGCGUGCCUAAUACAUGCAAGUCGAGCGAACGGACGAGAAGCUUGCUUCUCUGCUGUUAGCGGCGGACGGGUGAGUAACACGUGGAUAACCUACCUAUAAGACUGGGAUAACUUCGGGAAACCGGAGCUAAUACCGGAUGAUAUUUUGAACCGCAUGGUUCAAAAGUUAUAGACGGUCUUGCCGUCACUUAUAGAUGGUUCCGCGCUGCAUUAGCUAGUUGGUAAGGUAACGGCUUACCAAGGCAACGAAGCAUAGCCGACCUGAGAGGGUGAUCAGCCACACUGGAACUGAGACACGGUCCAGACUCCUACGGGAGGCAGCAGUAGGGAAUCUUCCGCAAUGGGCGAAAGCCUGACGGAGCAACGCCGCGUGAGUGAUGAAGGUCUUCGGAUCGUAAAACUCUGUUAUUAGGGAAGAACAGAUGUGUAAGUAACUGUGCACAUCUUGACGGUACCUAAUCAGAAAGCCACGGCUAACUACGUG
rnacentral:rRNA from 1 species